GCUGAGAUCGUAUAGUGGUUAGUACUCUGUAUCAUGGCUGAAGCAACCCUGGUUUAAAUCCAGGUUACAGCA
rfam:Danio rerio chromosome 4, GRCz11 reference primary assembly.